rnacentral:lncRNA from 1 species
AAAUAUUUUGUUUGUGACUCCAACCUAGUUUUUAUUUUUUAAUUCAAAAAAACUAGGAAACAUGGUGAAGAUUACAACUAAGAUAUCAUUUGUAAUGAUCUUUCUCGCUUUAGUAGCCACCAAUGGUAUUUUCUUUUUAAUCUUAUAUGCAUCCGUUCUUUUUUUUAUAUAUAUCUAAACAAUUAUAUUACUAGAUACGUACUAAUCUUGUUUAUAUUUAAUUUGUGUUUGUGAAACAUUUUAAAUUUCUACCAUGAUGCUGCAAAUAUAAUUAUAUAUUAUGACUAUCUUUUUUAUUUUUCAUUUUUAAAUAUUUUUUCUUUUGUAGGAUUUGGUCUGCCCAAAACACCAACAAAUGUGGUGCCUCAACAGGAUUGCCCUGGUGGUUGCAAUUUUCUAAUAAAUGUUUGUUUUCCACUAUUUCCUGCGUGUAUUAAUGGCAAGUGUACAUGUGCAAAGUUAGACAAUAAUAAUGCAAGCACAAAACAAGAACGCCACUAUGUCAAAGAUGGUGAAAAAGGAAACUAGUAGCUGAGUGCAUACCAUUAGAAAUAAUGUAGUUUACCUACAUUUUAAUAAUAAAAAUCUUGGAGUUUAAUAAUUUAUUAUUACUCAUGAAUGUAAAAUUUGUGUCGUCUUGUGUACUU